rnacentral:tRNA from 1 species
CGGAGGGUAGUAUAACGGUAGUACACAUCCCUUGGGAGGAUGAGGCCUGGGUUCAAUUCCCAGCCCUCCGA